UGGGGAAUUUUGCACAAUGGGGGAAACCCUGAUGCAGCGACGCCGCGUGAUUUAGAAGGCCUUCGGGUUGUAAAAAUCUUUUCUAUGGGAAGAAAAUGACAGUACCAUAGGAAUAAGGACCGGCUAAUUACGUGCCAGCAGCCGCGGUAAUACGUAAGGUCCGAGCGUUGUCCGGAAUCAUUGGGCGUAAAGGGUACGUAGGCGGGUAAGCAAGUUAGAAGUGAAAUCCUAUAGCUCAACUAUAGUAAGCUUUUAAAACUGCUCAUCUUGAGGUAUGGAAGGGAAGGUGGAAUUCCUGGUGUAGCGGUGAAAUGCGCGGAUAUUAGGAGGAAUACCGGUGGCGAAGGCGGCUUUCUGGCCAUAACCUGACGCUGAGGUACGAAAGCGUGGGUAGCAAACAGG
rnacentral:rRNA from 1 species